ensembl:snRNA U2 U2 spliceosomal RNA
AAAUCUUCUUACCCUAUGGCUCAGAUCAGGUGUAGUUUCUGUCCUUCUCAGUUUGGUAUCUGAUAGGCCAGCUAUGUGGGGGCUGCGUCUUAAAUGGAUGUUCAGUAUGUGGAGCUGGAUCAGGGGCAUGCCUCUUCCUCGUAGCCAGUAGAACAGGUUUUAUAUUCCUGAUAUUGUAUACAAUCA